GAUGAACGCUGGCGGCGUGCCUAAUACAUGCAAGUCGAGCGAACGGACGAGAAGCUUGCUUCUCCGAUGUUAGCGGCGGACGGGUGAGUAACACGUGGAUAACCUACCUAUAAGACUGGGAUAACUUCGGGAAACCGGAGCUAAUACCGGAUGAUAUUUUGAACCGCAUGGUUCAAAAGUGAAAGACGGUCUUGCUGUCACUUAUAGAUGGAUCCGCGCUGCAUUAGCUAGCUGGUAAGGUAACGGCUUACCAAGGCAACGAUGCAUAGCCGACCUGAGAGGGUGAUCGGCCACACUGGAACUGAGACACGGUCCAGACUCCUACGGGAGGCAGCAGUAGGGAAUCUUCCGCAAUGGGCGAAAGCCUGACGGAGCAACGCCGCGUGAGUGAUGAAGGUCUUCGGAUCGUAAAACUCUGUUAUUAGGGAAGAACAUAUGUGUAAGUAACUGUGCACAUCUUGACGGUACCUAAUCAGAAAGCCACGGCUAACUACGUG
rnacentral:rRNA from 1 species